CCUACGGGGGGCGGCAGUGGGGAAUCUUCCACAAUGGGCGAAAGCCUGAUGGAGCAACGCCGCGUGAAUGAAGAAGGCCUUAGGGUCGUAAAGUUCUGUCCUUAGGGAAGAACCGUGGGUAUAGAAAAUGAUACCCACCUGACGGUACCUUUGGAGGAAGCACUGGCUAACUACGUGCCAGCAGCCGCGGUAAUACGUAGAGUGCAAGCGUUGUCCGGAAUUAUUGGGCGUAAAGGGUACGCAGGCGGAUAAUCAAGUCAAGCGUGAAAGGUGUCGGCUUAACCGACAGACUGCGUUUGAAACUGGUUAUCUUGAGUGUAACAGAGGAGAGUGGAAUUCCUAGUGUAGUGGUGAAAUACGUAGAUAUUAGGAAGAACACCAGUGGCGAAGGCGACUCUCUGGGUUAACACUGACGCUGAGGUACGAAAGCUGGGGGAGCAAACGGGAUUAGAUACCCCGGUAGUCCCAGCCGUAAACGAUGGAUACUAGGUGUUGGAGGUUCGAAUCCUUCAGUGCCGGAGUUAACGCAUUAAGUAUCCCGCCUGGGGAUUACGAUCGCAAGAUUGAAACUCAAAGGAAUUGACGG
rnacentral:rRNA from 1 species